rnacentral:rRNA from 1 species
GAGUGAUGAAGGUUUUCGGAUCGUAAAGCUCUGUUGUUAGGGAAGAACAAGUGCGAGAGUAACUGCUCGCACCUUGACGGUACCUAACCAGAAAGCCACGGCUAACUACGUGCCAGCAGCCGCGGUAAUACGUAGGUGGCAAGCGUUGUCCGGAAUUAUUGGGCGUAAAGGGCUCGCAGGCGGUUUCUUAAGUCUGAUGUGAAAGCCCCCGGCUCAACCGGGGAGGGUCAUUGGAAACUGGGAAACUUGAGUGCAGAAGAGGAGAGUGGAAUUCCACGUGUAGCGGUGAAAUGCGUAGAGAUGUGGAGGAACACCAGUGGCGAAGGCGACUCUCUGGUCUGUAACUGACGCUGAGGAGCGAAAGCGUGGGGAGCGAACAGGAUUAGAUACCCUGGUAGUCCACGCCGUAAACGAUGAGUGCUAAGUGUUAGGGGGUUUCCGCCCCUUAGUGCUGCAGCUAACGCAUUAAGCACUCCGCCUGGGGAGUACGGUCGCAAGACUGAAACUCAAAGGAAUUGACGGGGGCCCGCACAAGCGGUGGAGCAUGUGGUUUAAUUCGAAGCAACGCGAAGAACCUUACCAGGUCUUGACAUCCUCUGACAACCCUAGAGAUAGGGCUUUCCCUUCGGGGACAGAGUGACAGGUGGUGCAUGGUUGUCGUCAGCUCGUGUCGUGAGAUGUUGGGUUAAGUCCCGCAACGAGCGCAACCCUUGAUCUUAGUUGCCAGCAUUCAGUUGGGCACUCUAAGGUGACUGCCGGUGACAAACCGGAGGAAGGUGGGGGAUGACGUCAAAUCAUCAUGCCCCUUAUGACCUGGGCUACACACGUGCUACAAUGGACAGAACAAAGGGCUGCAAGACCGCAAGGUUUAGCCAAUCCCAUAAAUCUGUUCUCAGUUCGAAUCGCAAUCUGCAACUCGACUGCGUGAAACUGGAAUCGCUAGUAAUCUCGGAUCAACAUGCCGCGGUGAAUAC